AAGAACAAAGAUAACGGGACAAGAACAUAAAUGUUUCACAACAGAACAUAUAUUUAUAUACCACAGGUACUUGAGGACACAAGAACUACAGACCAAAUCUUCUGAAGCAAGCAGUACAAUUAUGAGCAGGACAAAGCAAGCAAGUGUACUAGUACUAAUAAAUCAACUGAAUAGUACUACUAAACAAGCACAAAUCUGAACUGACAAUUAACAGGUUGCAAGCUCUUAUCAAAUCUGAACCUUACAAGUACUACACAUCUCCUAUUACAGAAAAUUCAGAGAGAGAGAUAAGCAGCAGCAAGAUUGAAGAAAGAGAAGCAGCAGGGACGUGGAGAGAGGGAGCAGCAGCAGUUUUGGGGAGAGAAGAAGAAGAAAAGCAGCAGGGACGUGGAGAGAGGGAGCAGCAGCAGUUUUGGGGAUAGAAGAAGAAGAAAAGCAGCAGGAGAUUGAGGGCAUCAGCAGCAGCAAGAGAAAGGAUUAAGGGGAGAUCAGGGGCAGCAGCUAGAUGGCACAAGUGAGGAGCAACAGCAAGGAGAAGUUCAGAGGUAGAGGAGCAGCAGCGAGGCAAGAGAAGGAGUAGCAGCAAGAACGUGAGGAGAGGGAAGGAGCAGCAGGUUGAGGCGCUCAGAGAGGGGAAGUAGAGGAGGAGCAGAAGGGCAGCAGGGAGGACGUCGGGAAGAAGAACAACAACGAGGUAGGCGAAGGGAGCGGCCAGGAGAAUCAGCAGCGGGUGGAGGCGCGCGGGUAUGGCAGGCGAGAUGGGCGCUGGUGGUGAGGGGCGCUGGUGAUGGAUAGAUGGAUGGGUGGCGGAGGCGCACCACCACGCCGGCCUGGCCGUGGCGGCGGCCGGAGGUGGAGAAGGAGGGGUGAGGGAGAGAGAUGGAGAUGCCAGGCCCGAUUUGGGAAUGGGGCAGCGCUAGGGAUUUUGAUCCCCUCCCUGAUCUGCCACUUUUGCUCUUUGGCCCUUCUCCUUCUCUUCUUACUUCACAAGAAGGUCCUCCCACUUCUUUAGCUAGCCCCUCUGGUUACUUCUUGUCAUCACACACAAGUCCUUGACGUAUUUGUUUCAUGCCCUUCUCUAUUCUCGUUAGCCACAUAGUAGAAAUCUUGACGAUUAUAGUGCCUUUGCGCACUUUUCUGCAAAAGAAACAAGUCACAAGUAAAUGAUCCCUUUAUAUGAUUUCCAUUCAAAUAUGCAACAGUUCAUAGCAAGGAUCGAUGGUCAGAUCACAAUAUGUGGUAUAUUUGAGUGCCAAAUUAUGAAUAGGAAAUGUGCUUAUCAAGUUCCCCCACACUUAAAUCUUUACUUGUCCUCAAGUAAAGGAAUAUGAUAAAGGCAAGAUAGUGAACAGUAAACUGACUAAAGGAUGCACUAGUAAAUCAGAUCUCCAAACAAUGCUUGCUUUGACCUUUGCUAGUGAAAAUUAAUGGUUAGGAGUGCUACAAAGCAAUAGGAUACAAGUAAACUCGACCAUUCUAAACUUUUGCAAUGAUAAACGAAGAUUAGCAAGUUCAAAUGCUGACUCUGCCAAAAGGUUCCUAAAGAGAGCAUGAUCCUGAGAACAAAAGGAACUUGAAUUUAUUUGCAGAAAUAUAACAUUGUGGUUGAACCACUUAUUAAAUUUGAAGGAAGUGAUGAUAAUAUUUUAUCAGUCUCACCAAAGGAACAUACCACCGAUCCCGAGAACAUGGUAUACACCUGGCUCGACCAAUUAUUAGUUUUUUUUAGUUUGUCUCCCCAAAGGAACAUACCGCCGAUCCCAAGAACAUGGUAUACACCUGGUUCGACAAUUACAUUUUCUUAAUAUAAUUCACUCCUAUCCGAUCCAACCAGAUUUCACAAGCCACCGAUCCAGGGAACAUGACAUGCUACUGUUAGGUAGAUCAGAUAAUUAUUUAUUCAUUAUUACUUAUUUAACAAAUGAAUACAAAAAUGAAACAAGAAUCAUCACUCAUCCAGGUCUGGUUCACAUACUACCGAUCCAGGGAACAUAGCAUGCUAGUCCAUAGUGGUGAGUGAUUGCUGUGAAUGGGAACACAUUAGGCACAAACUCAGCAUCUGACACUUAAUGAUCUAGGUGCAUCAAGGUAAGAGCAGAAAAUAAUUAAGUUUUCUAGUGUGCUAGGGAUUUGAGCACUCAAAACUAAUAGCCUUCACUACUUUCAGUAAUAGAACAAGCUAUAGAUCACUAGUUUACUAGGCAUUCCACAAUCAGUUCACAUGUUCACAUCAAGCACAAUAUGUCAAAUGAAAUUCAGUGGGACAGCAUUUAAGAAAUGGCUUAAGCAACCCAAAUAUCAAAUGAUUUCAACAUGUACCAAUGGAUGACAUAUUCAGAUUGGGGACAUGAAACAGCUCACCGGGUUUAUAUAGGAAGUAGCACUCGCUCGACACUCUCUAAACUGCAGCUCUUCUCUUUUUGCUUCUCUAUCCUCAUGCAUGCUCCAGCUUCACUCUUCUUCAUGUGUGCCCCUUGCUUCUCCUCGUCACCAUUCCGUGAAUCCACCGGGGUCCCAAGGAAUGUCACCUUGAACCUGGUCAGCAUGUAGUGAACCGUGCAAAAGCAUAAACCUGAAAAGGCACUCAACAAAAGAGACAAUGCAAGUGCUAGGGAUAAUGCCCUCCAAGUCAUCAAUCGAGUAUCCAAUUACAUAAGCAUAGCUAUAAAGCACAUGUUUAGGAUGGUAGAAAUCAGCAAGGUAGACACUAACAUGAGGAUGAAAUUUAUCAUUAAGCUCAAGACUAGCAUGGGAAUGAUAUGUUUCAUUAAGCAUAGGACUAGCAUAAGGAAAAUAAGUGUCAUUAUCAGGAAUGAGAGCAAUGCCACCAACAGUGUAUGUAUCAUCAUAUCCAAGCAAAUUAGUUUUCAAAUCAAUCUUAAGUGAUGGUAUCAUGUAAUGCAAGGUAGUAGCAAAGAAAUUAUACGGACGCAUGUCAUCAAGAGGAUUAGAUAAACCUGCUACAUGGCACGCGUGAGGAGCAUCAGCAGGGACGUGGAGAGAGGGAGCAGCAGCAGUUUUGGGGAUAGAAGAAGAAGAAAAGCAGCAGGAGAUUGAGGGCAUCAGCAGCAGCAAGAGAAAAGAUUGAGGGGAGAUCAAGGGCAGCAGCUAGAUGGCACACGUGAGGAGCAACAGCAAGGAGGAGUUCAGAGGUAGAGGAGGAGCAGCGAGGCAAGAGAAGAAGGAGCAGCAGCAAGAACGUGAGGAAAGGGAAGGAGCAGCAGGUUGAGGCGCUAGGAGAUGGGAAGCAGAGGAGGAGCAGAAGGGCAGCAGGGAGGACAUCGGGAAGAAGAACAACAGCGAGGUAGGCGAAGGGAGCGGCAAGGAGAAUCACCAGCGGGUGGAGGCGCGCGGGUAUGGCAGGCGAGAUGGGCGCUGGUGGUGAGGGGCGCUGGUGAUGGAUAGAUGGAUGGGUGGCGGAGGCGCACCACCACGCCGGCCUGGCCGUGGCGGCGGCCGGAGGUGGAGGAGGGGUGAGGGAGAGAGAUGGAGAUGCUAGGCCCGAUUUGGGAAUGGGGCAGCGCUAGGAUUUUGAUCCCCACCCUGAUCUGCCACUUUUGCUCUUUGGCCCUUCUCCUUCUCUUCUUACUUCACAAGAAGGUCCUCCCACUUCUUUAGCUAGCCCCUCUGGUUACUUCUUGUC
rnacentral:lncRNA from 1 species